rnacentral:rRNA from 1 species
AGAGUUUGAUCCUGGCUCAGAACGAACGCUGGCGGCAUGCCUAACACAUGCAAGUCGAACGAGACCUUCGGGUCUAGUGGCGCACGGGUGCGUAACGCGUGGGAACCUGCCUUUAGGUUCGGAUUAACUCAGAGAAAUUUGAGCUAAUACUGGAUAAUGUCUUCGGACCAAAGAUUUAUCGCCUUUAGAUGGGCCCGCGUUGGAUUAGCUAGUUGGUGGGGUAAAGGCCUACCAAGGCGACGAUCCAUAGCUGGUCUGAGAGGAUGAUCAGCCACACUGGGACUGAGACACGGCCCAGACUCCUACGGGAGGCAGCAGUGGGGAAUAUUGGACAAUGGGCGAAAGCCUGAUCCAGCAAUGCCGCGUGAGUGAUGAAGGCCUUAGGGUUGUAAAGCUCUUUUACCCGAGAUGAUAAUGACAGUAUCGGGAGAAUAAGCCCCGGCUAACUCCGUGCCAGCAGCCGCGGUAAUACGGAGGGAGCUAGCGUUGUUCGGAAUUACUGGGCGUAAAGCGCACGUAGGCGGCUUUUUAAGUCAGGGGUGAAAUCCCGGGGCUCAACCCCGGAACUGCCCUUGAAACUGGGAAGCUAGAAUCUUGGAGAGGCGAGUGGAAUUCCGAGUGUAGAGGUGAAAUUCGUAGAUAUUCGGAAGAACACCAGUGGCGAAGGCGACUCGCUGGACAAGUAUUGACGCUGAGGUGCGAAAGCGUGGGGAGCGAACAGGAUUAGAUACCCUGGUAGUCC